ACAAAGAUGGUAUUGAGAUUAACAACUAUAUGCUUCAUUAUUUUAUUUUGGAACACCAUUGCCUUUUGUUUGGUUGAAGGAUACAGGUCUAGUCGAGAUGCAAACGUCGUCAUUGAGGUUUGCAGACUAUUCAUGAAGAUAUUUAUGAUUGUGUGGAUCUUUAUAAACAACCAUCUCUUUUGCAUUCAAUUUCGAUCAGAGAAAGAAUCAAGAUGACAACUGCGAAUGAGCUAGAAAAACAAUGAUCAGUGAAUGCUAAGCAACUGUAGAAGGAUCAAAAUAUUUAUUUUACAGCAGAAGAGUAUUGGCUGAAUAAAAAAGGUUGUCCAAUUGAAACUGUUUCUAUUCGGCGAAUGACACAAGAACAACUCCAAGGAGCCAAAGAUGCCUCCCUAAGCUUUGCAAAUGAAUCUCUUGCUGGAAACAUCAUCGAUGUAACUACUUAUUUACUAAUGUCUUAAACAUUUGUUAGAAUUAUUAUUAACAGUCAACAAAUUCAAUUUUAAAUAGUUAUUCUAAUUAAUUUAUAUAGAACUACAUCAAUUUCCAGGAAUUAGCAUAAACACAUCUCCAGCAAUAAAUAAUUUUAGAUGUAUCUCAAUCAUUGUUACUUUGUAUAAUCGACAAGUAAAUAUGGAGAUGGCCAGUACAGUUCUGCAACAAUAUUUCUUCAAAGUAUAAAUACCACAAAUUUCGAGGAGAUACAAGCUAGAUGAAUUGUAAGUUAAUAUGCUUUUGUUAUAUAUUCAUGAAAAUUAACAUAUUUGAAUUUUUCUUAUUCAAAACAAUUGAUUUCAUGAUUUGAAAUUAAAAAACGAAAAUACUUAUCGGUGAGUAAGUGUUGCAAUUAUUUUCUGGCAUCCGAUUAUGUACUUUUUGAUAAUUUGAUUUCCUAAAAUACAAGAAGAAAUACUUUUAUUUCUAGAAGUGAUGUUUGUUUGGUCUAGGUACAUCCAAAAUUAUACGGUGAUGGACGGACUCGAUUGUACACCCAUUGGACUGUAAGUAUGUUAGGAAUUAAUCGAUAUAUCUCUUGAAAAAACAAAUAAAUUCAACGACAAAAAUCUUUACAAAAGCAUAUAGAGUAAUUUUUUAUUUUUUUUGUGAAUUAAAUAGGUAGAUGCCCACCAGAAAACUGGAUGUUACAACUAUAUUUGUCCAAGAUUUGUUCAACUUAGCAGUGAAAUACCAAUAGAUUAUGCUUUCCCAAAAGUCUCUAUAUCAGAAUCUGAUUUUGCAGAAUUGUAGAGUCAGAUCUACAAGGAUCAAGUUAACUUACUUGUUACCAUAUAUUUACAGAGUAUGAUG